rnacentral:rRNA from 1 species
GACGAACGCUGGCGGCGUGCUUAACGCAUGCCAGUCGAACGGAAAGGCCCUGCUUUUGUGGGGUGCUCGAGUGGCGAACGGGUGAGUAACACGUGAGUAACCUGCCCUUGACUUUGGGAUAACUUCAGGAAGCUGGGGCUAAUACCGGAUAGGAGCUCCUGCUGCAUGGUGGGGGUUGGAAAGUUUCGGCGGUUGGGGAUGGACUCGCGGCUUAUCAGCUUGUUGGUGGGGUAGUGGCUUACUAAGGCUUUGACGGGUAGCCGGCCUGAGAGGGUGACCGGCCACAUUGGGACUGAGAUACGGCCCAGACUCCUACGGGAGGCAGCAGUGGGGAAUAUUGCACAAUGGGCGGAAGCCUGAUGCAGCAACGCCGCGUGCGGGAUGACGGCCUUCGGGUUGUAAACCGCUUUCGCCUGUGACGAAGCGUGAGUGACGGUAAUGGGUAAAGAAGCACCGGCUAACUACGUG